rnacentral:ncRNA from 1 species
GUAAACCCGCUGAAAAACGGGGACACAAAGCCAGAUGGGUCUAAGGUCUGAACAUAGAGAAAAAUCAGACUAUGACAGCCGGUUGCAG